rnacentral:rRNA from 1 species
AUUGAACGCUGGCGGCAGGCUUAACACAUGCAAGUCGAGCGGAGAUGAGGUGCUUGCACCUUAUCUUAGCGGCGGACGGGUGAGUAAUGCUUAGGAAUCUGCCUAUUAGUGGGGGACAACAUUCCGAAAGGAAUGCUAAUACCGCAUACGCCCUACGGGGGGAAAGCAGGGGACCUUCGGACCUUGCGCUAAUAGAUGAACCUAAGUCGGAUUAGCUAGUUGGUGGGGUAAAGGCCUACCAAGGCGACGAUCUGUAGCGGGUCUGAGAGGAUGAUCCGCCACACUGGGACUGAGACACGGCCCAGACUCCUACGGGAGGCAGCAGUGGGGAAUAUUGGACAAUGGGCGGAAGCCUGAUCCAGCCAUGCCGCGUGUGUGAAGAAGGCCUUUUGGUUGUAAAGCACUUUAAGCGAGGAGGAGGCUACCUGGAUUAAUACUCUAGGAUAGUGGACGUUACUCGCAGAAUAAGCACCGGCUAACUCUGUGCCAGCCGCCGCGGUAAAAC